GUGAUGGACUGGAAGUAAGGAAUCCUGAACUCUUGUUACAGCUCUGGGCAAAGAGCUUUAUCUCUCUGGACCUUGGGUGUAUUAGCUGUCAAACAAUGGCGUUGGACUAGGUCAGCCUCCUGACAGAUGAAGAUAUUGUGUCCCAUGAGAUCUGAGGAGGCCUGCCUCACUGUAGGACAAGUAGGAUGGUUUCAAAAAAACUUGGGAAGACUUACA